rnacentral:rRNA from 1 species
AGUGAACGCUGGCGGUAGGCCUAACACAUGCAAGUCGAACGGAGUGGCGGAAGGGUGCGUAAUGCCUAGGAAUCUGCCUGGUAGUGUGGGAUAAAGUCCGGAAACGGGCGCUCAUACCGCAUACUAUCAGAUGAGCCUAGGUCGGAUUAGCUAGUUGGUGGGGUAAAGGCCUACAAAGGCGACGAGCCGUAACUGGUCUGAGAGGAUGAUCAGUCACACUGGAACUGAGACACGGUCCAGACUCCUACGGGAGGCAGCAGUGGGGAAUAUUGGACAAUGGGCGAAAGCCUGAUCCAGCCAUGCCGCGUGUGUGAAGAAGGUCUUCGGAUUGUAAAGCACUUUAAGUUGGGAGGCGUUACCAACAGAAUAAGCACCGGCUAACUUCGUGCCAGCAGCCGCGGUAAUAC